rnacentral:misc_RNA from 1 species
GACGAAGGAUCCAAGCGUUGUCCGGAUUUACUGGGUUUAAAGGGUGCGUAGGCGGAAAAUUAAGUCAGUGGUGAAAGCCCGCAGUUCAACUGUGGAACUGCCAUUGAAACUGGUUUUCUUGAAUGUAGCUGAGGCAGAUGGAAUAUAACAUGUAGCGGUGAAAUGCUUAGAUAUGUUAUAGAACACCGAUUGCGAAGGCAGUCUGCUAAACUAUUAUUGACGCUGAGGCACGAAAGCGUGGGGAGCGAACAGG